rnacentral:lncRNA from 1 species
GCCAAAUAACAUACCAUGACAUAUUCCCCCUACUCUUAUAUGUUUGUCCCCAAACAUGAUAUAAACAUUUACAUAGUAACACCCUAAAAAUAUCUCAAUACACUCUUUAUAAACUAUAUUUAUAACCUGGCGCCAAAAAUAUAUACAUAUAUCAACAACAAUUUAUUCCAACUUGCUAGCUUCCAGCAACCUUUAUUCCUUGUAUAAGGAAAUUUUAACAGAUGAAUAAUAAAACAACAUUUCAGUAAUCCAAAAUUCAAAUUGAUGUAGUGAAAAGAACCAACAGGCGUGCACUCCUACUAGUUUCUAGAACCACAAAAAAAGAAGAUAGAAACCGAAAGUUUUCUAUGUACUGCUGUCUUGGAAGGUUGCUAUGGUAACAUGAUAAGCACCAUCAUGAUAUUCACUGAUGUCUAAAUGAUCUAAGUUGGUAAUGUCAAAGUUCUGUUCUUGUAGUCUAAUUUCGCUUUGUUGUUUCACAAAAAGUUUAAUCCUAUAAAUAAGCUCUAGCAAGUAAUGUUCAAAAUUAUGAAUUUCUGGUAAGAUGUCCAAAAGAAAGUUGAAGCACUAUAUUUCUGAUUAUUGCAUACACACAUCCACGGACACUUAUUGCAUCCUUGAUCGUUGGUGUAUUGCUGUAGUGGUGUGUAGAAAGUACAGCUGAUGUUGACUGAUACAGCUAAAAGAAGCCCCACUGUCAACUAAACAUCUCAGUUGAAGGUUCUCUAUUCCAAUUUCGACAAAGUUCCUCUCCAUGGUUGUAGUAAACUGGAAACUUGCUGUUCCUGGUAUUACACUGGAUAGCCUGGCACAUCUGUCUUUUUGGCAGCACCAUCCUUUUGAAAUUCUCUUUCUCCCCAUGAUAAUUUCUACUCCAAUUACCAAACUGAAACUAAAAGUAAUUUUUGUCAGUAUAUUGUUUAUUUUCUAUUUUCUCU